GACGAACGCUGGCGGCGUGCUUAACACAUGCAAGUCGAACGGAAAGGCCCUGCUUUUGUGGGGUGCUCGAGUGGCGAACGGGUGAGUAACACGUGAGUAACCUGCCCUUGACUUUGGGAUAACUUCAGGAAACUGGGGCUAAUACCGGAUAGGAGCUCCUGCUGCAUGGUGGGGGUUGGAAAGUUUCGGCGGUUGGGGAUGGACUCGCGGCUUAUCAGCUUGUUGGUGGGGUAGUGGCUUACCAAGGCUUUGACGGGUAGCCGGCCUGAGAGGGUGACCGGCCACAUUGGGACUGAGAUACGGCCCAGACUCCUACGGGAGGCAGCAGUGGGGAAUAUUGCACAAUGGGCGGAAGCCUGAUGCAGCAACGCCGCGUGCGGGAUGACGGCCUUCGGGUUGUAAACCGCUUUCGCCUGUGACGAAGCGUGAGUGACGGUAAUGGGUAAAGAAGCACCGGCUGACUACGUGCCAGCAGCCGCGGUGAUACGUAGGGUGCGAGCGUUGUCCGGAUUUAUUGGGCGUAAAGGGCUCGUAGGUGGUUGAUCGCGUCGGAAGUGUAAUCUUGGGGCUUAACCCUGAGCGUGCUUUCGAUACGGGUUGACUUGAGGAAGGUAGGGGAGAAUGGAAUUCCUGGUGGAGCGGUGGAAUGCGCAGAUAUCAGGAGGAACACCAGUGGCGAAGGCGGUUCUCUGGGCCUUUCCUGACGCUGAGGAGCGAAAGCGUGGGGAGCGAACAGGCUUAGAUACCCUGGUAGUCCACGCUGUAAACGGUGGGUACUAGGUGUGGGGUCCACUCCACGGGUUCCGUGCCGUAGCUAACGCUUUAAGUACCCCGCCUGGGGAGUACGGCCGCAAGGCUAAAACUCAAAGGAAUUGACGGGGCCCCGCACAAGCGGCGGAGCAUGCGGAUUAAUUCGAUGCAACGCGUAGAACCUUACCUGGGUUUGACAUGGAUCGGGAGUGCUCAGAGAUGGGUGUGCCUCUUUUGGGGUCGGUUCACAGGUGGUGCAUGGCUGUCGUCAGCUCGUGUCGUGAGAUGUUGGGUUAAGUCCCGCAACGAGCGCAACCCUUGUUCACUGUUGCCAGCACGUUAUGGUGGGGACUCAGUGGAGACCGCCGGGGUCAACUCGGAGGAAGGUGGGGAUGACGUCAAGUCAUCAUGCCCCUUAUGUCCAGGGCUUCACGCAUGCUACAAUGGCUGGUACAGAGAGUGGCGAGCCUGUGAGGGUGAGCGAAUCUCGGAAAGCCGGUCUCAGUUCGGAUUGGGGUCUGCAACUCGACCUCAUGAAGUCGGAGUCGCUAGUAAUCGCAGAUCAGCAACGCUGCGGUGAAUACGUUCCCGGG
rnacentral:rRNA from 1 species